rnacentral:misc_RNA from 1 species
UCCGAUUUGUCACCGGCAGUCCCCCUAGAGUUCCCGACUUGACUCGCUGGCAACUAACAACAGGGGUUGCGCUCGUUAUAGGACUUAACCUGACACCUCACGGCACGAGCUGACGACAACCAUGCAGCACCUUGUAAAUUGCCCGAAGGAAAAACCGUUUCCGGUCCUGUCAAUCUACAUUUAAGCCUUGGUAAGGUUCCUCGCGUAUCAUCGAAUUAAACCACAUGCUCCACCGCUUGUGCGGGCCCCCGUCAAUUCCUUUGAGUUUCAGGCUUGCGCCCGUACUCCCCAGGUGGGAUACUUAUCACUUUCGCUUAGCCACUGAGCUUGCGCCCAACAGCUAGUAUCCAUCGUUUACGGCGUGGACUAC